CUUGAGGCUAUUCCGACAGGGAGAAAAGCGAUCUACGCCUGACCGCCUGCCUCAGCAAUCAUCCAGGC
rnacentral:ncRNA from 25 species